rnacentral:rRNA from 1 species
GUGACACAACUGUUAAACGGCCGCGGUACUCUGACCGUGCGAAGGUAGCAUAAUCACUUGUUCUUUAAAUGGGGACUAGUAUCAACGGUGCCACGAGGGCUUCCCUGUCUCCUUUUUCCAAUCAGUGAAACUGAUCUCCCUGUGAAGAAGCAGGGAUACUAAUAUAAGACGAGAAGACCCCAUGGAGCUUUAAACUCAACAGACAACCCGACACAUAUUUUUUCAUCUUAGUCAUCAAAAAGCCAUGUUUGUUAGUUUUAGGUUGGGGUGACCAUGGAGUAAAACUUAACCUCCACGACGCACGGGACUUGCUUACUCCCUUAUCCAAGAGCCACGACUCUAAGAAUUAAAAUAUUAACGUAAAAUGAUCCAAACAUUUGAUCAACGGACCAAGUUACCCUGGGGAUAACAGCGCAAUCCAUUUCGAGAGCUCCUAUCGACAAGUGGGUUUACGACCUCGAUGUUGGAUCAGGGUAU